GUUUAGAUAGCUCAGUGGUAGAGUAAAACACUGAAAAUGUUUCUGUCGUCGGUUCAAAUCCGAUUCUAAACA
rnacentral:tRNA from 1 species